UCUUUUCGUCGACGGUCUACAAUCUUUUGGUACAUUCGAUGUUUUACCAAAAGUUACUGAAUCUCGAAAUGGAUACACCUGACUAUAUAUUUCAGAACCCGUCAGACGUUUAGGGGCGACUCUAGUUUCGAUCUGAUUAUUGAAACUUUUCUUAUCGCUCCUAUAAUAAUGCUUCAUAUCUAGAAAUCGACGAUGCCCCAUAAAACUCUCUUUCUUUCCAUGCUCUAAACGAAUACUUUCAGUGUCGUUCUUACAUACUGCACAGGCUAACUUUCCUUUAGUGCUCCACCCUGAUAUAUCACCGUAUCCUGGAUAAUCAUGUAUCGUCCACAAAAGUGAUGCAAACAUCUUAAAAGAUUUCUGCGUACGUACAUCAAAAGCUGUA
rnacentral:lncRNA from 1 species